CUGUCCUUCCUGCAGCUCUAAAACUUCAGCACCUUGGAAGUCGCCACUGUUGAGCCCCGGCUGCGAGUCCAAGUGAACCCCAGACAAAUCUGUCGAAAAAAAAGAACAUCUGUGUUUUCUUUGACUUCUACCUCGUGAACAUCAGGAGAGUUUUCCAAAUCUCUUCAUCGGUGUUCAAAGCCAAGGAGAUGUCAGCGUCAGGUCUCCCUCCAGAUGAAAUGCAUGAGACCACCCAGAACUCAUUUCCUCCUUGUUGUACCAUCUCUGCUUUAACGGUCACAUUCGGCCUCACUGCAGAGCAGGAAGAAAGGCGAGAAGAGUUAUUCUUUCACAAGGUCUAAUGUUUUUUCCAGCAAAUUAAAAAGUCAGAUAGCAAGUGAAGGCUCAGGGUGUUUUUGUUAAAUAGGAAGCUGGGGCCGGAUGAGCUGAAUGUUAGCUAAACACAGGCCAUAAGGGGCUUCUGCUUGGGUUUUGGAGAGUGCUGACUUAGGCUUAUCACCUGUCCCAUCUGUUGGCCGGGCUACAGCUGAGAGCAGAUGUCUGGACCAGCUGCUGUCCAACCAAAGCUGAGAGAACCACAGGCUUUGAUAUAGGGAAUACGUAGAGAUCAGAGUCUAUUAUCAAAUACAUAAAAUCUGUGGUGUAAUGCAAUAACCAGCCAUCCCUAAUGAGUCAGAGAAGUGAACUAACACCUCAUAAUGGCUCGGGUGCCGGGGAGGGGUUUGUACAAUUAAAAUGAGUUAAAAGCACAGGCUUUAAAUAUUCCAUCUGUUAACACCUACAGUCAUGUGUGGACUAGAAAAUUACUGAAGUUGCAGUACUUUAGUGGAGUGUGAAUGUAUCAUGGGUAAAUGAGCUGGCUGGCCUGGCCCAUGCUAAUGGAAUAGUUAUCAUACAGUCAGCCAUUUGAACAUACACUGUAUCCAUGGAAGGAUUUGGACAGAAUGUGUGGAAGCAAAGGUCUUUUUUAAAAACAUUAAGCACACAGAAAUAAACAGUAAAAUGAAUGAGAGAAAAAUUCAAUAACUGAACUGCUUCGAAGGCAAAGCAGCUAAUAAGUCUGUGGCCAGUGGUAGUAGAACAGUUUAUUUUUCUUUUCUAGUGGAUGUAAACUCUCUUAAUAUGGUGGCAUGACAAGCAAGGUUGAUGACCAAAUUGAAAUGGUACCAACCAUAGGUAUCAUGCUGUACCAUACAAAAAUAUCCUCUCGGUUUGUUUUUACCACUUAUUUUAUCUAAUGUGUGUUAUGAAAACCAGGGCCUACAUAUGGGGUAUAAAUUUAAACAUUACUGGGUCCGAUUGUGAAACACAGAGGUGGCAACAAAACCAAACUCGUGUGGGGUUUUGUAUCUGUCUUACCAGCUGUUUCCUAAUGAUGAUUUGUGCUGAAGAUAAUCUUUAAAGUUUUGCAUGAGCCUUGUUGUUAUGUAAACAUUUAACAAACAUUUGUAAAUUCAUACGCUAAAUACUUCUCCAUUUUAAGUCCACAUUAACUGAUUUCUGCCACUUGGAGGCAGUGGAAACAAGAUGUAAACGCAACACUGACACAUUUUCUGGUUGUAAAUUUGAUACAAACAGACAUCCUCCAUCCAGCAGAGAAACAUAAAUGUUCAUUUUGAGUCGUGUCCAUUGAUGAAUGGCAGUCGGAUAUUCUCUCUCCUCUUACUUCUGUUUUGUUCUCCACCGACUCGCUAACUUUGACUGCUGAUCUGCUGUUUGGUCGAGAACAACGCUGGUAAGUGGGCGUAGGCCUGCAAACCAAAACAACGCGCUCAAAGGCGUUAAAUUGCUCCAUAGAUCUGAGAGAAACUACAGCUAGCUCAUAAUCCCUCAUAAUCAUAAUCAACCCUUUUCCCUACAUACACACUGUAAUUUUGUCCACUGUCAUUAUUGGUUGUGGCUGCUUUAAAUGUACUUGAUGAAAGUCUAUGGACCAAAAUGUUGUGACUAAAUAAAGUGAACGUGCUGGA